AGGGUUCGAUCUGGCUCAGGAUGAACGCUAGCGAUAGGCCUAACACAUGCAAGUCGAGGGGCAGCACAUGAGUAGCAAUACGAUGGUGGCGACCGGCGCACGGGUGAGUAACACGUAUGCAACCUACCUUUAACAGGGGAAUAACCCGUUGAAAAACGGACUAAUACUCCAUAACACAGGGGUCCCGCAUGGGAAUAUUUGUUAAAGAUUAAUCGGUUGAAGAUGGGCAUGCGUUCCAUUAGCUUGUUGGUGAGGUAACGGCUCACCAAGGCCACGAUGGAUAGGGGAACUGAGAGGUUUAUCCCCCACACUGGAACUGAGACACGGUCCAGACUCCUACGGGAGGCAGCAGUGAGGAAUAUUGGUCAAUGGAGGCAACUCUGAACCAGCCAAGUCGCGUGAAGGAAUGAAGGUCUUAUGGAUUGUAAACUUCUUUUGCAAGGGAAUAAAGUGGGGGACGUGUCCUCCUUUGCAUGUACCUUGCGAAUAAGGAUCGGCUAGCUCCGUGCCAGCCGCAGC
rnacentral:rRNA from 1 species